rnacentral:rRNA from 1 species
GCCCUUUUCCGGUUGAUCCUGCCGGAGGCCAUUGCUAUCGGGGUCCGAUUUAGCCAUGCUAGUCGAACGAGUUGAGACUCGUGGCGACCAGCUCAGUAACACGUGGCCAACCUACCCUGUAGACUGGGACAUCCUCGGGAAACUGAGGGUAAUCCCGGAUAGGCGAUCGCGGCUGGAAGGCGCGAUCGCGGAAAGGGUUUACCGCUACAGGACGAGGCUGCGGCCGAUUAGGUAGACGGUGGGGUAACGGCCCACCGUGCCAGUAAUCGGUACGGGUCAUGAGAGUGAGAGCCCGGAGACGGACUCUGAGACAAGAGUCCGGGCCCUACGGGGCGCAGCAGGCGCGAAACCUUUACACUGCACGCGAGUGCGAUAAGGGGACCCCGAGUGCGGAGGCAUAGCGCCUUCGCUUUUCUGGACUGUAGGGACGUCUAGGAAGAAGGGCUGGGCAAGACCGGUGCCAGCCGCCGCGGUAAUACCGGCAGCCCGAGUGAUGGCCGAUAUUAUUGGGCCUAAAGCGUCCGUAGCUGGCCGCGCACGUCCGUCGGGAAAUCCACGCGCUCAACGCGUGGGCGCCCGACGGAUCCGGCGCGGCUUGGGACCGGAAGGCGCGACGGGUACGUCUGGGGUAGGAGUGAAAUCCUAUAAUCCCAGACGGACCGCCGAUGGCGAAAGCACGUCGCGAGGACGGCUCCGACAGUGAGGGACGAAAGCUGGGGUCUCGAACCGGAUUAAUACCCGGGUAGUCCCAGCCGUAAACGAUGCCUGUUA